rnacentral:rRNA from 1 species
GACGAACGCUGGCGGCGUGCUUAACACAUGCAAGUCGAACGAAGUGGCGAACGGGUGAGUAACGAGUAAUCAACCUGCCCUUCAGAGGGGGACAACAGUUGGAAACGACUGCUAAUACCGCAUACUGAAGGCGGGGAUUGUGUCUGAGUAGGUAGUUGGAGGGGUAACGGCCCACCAAGGCGAUGAUCAGUAGCCGGGCUGAGAGGAUGGAUGGACACAAUGGGACUUAGGAAAGGCCCAGACCCCUACGGGAGGCAGCAGGGGGGAAUUUUCCGAAAUGGACGACAGGCUGGCGGAGCAACGCCGCGUGAGUGAUGACGGCCUUCGGGUUGUAAAGCUCUGUUAAUCGGGACGCGGUACCGGAAUAGAAAGCCACGGCUAACUACGUGCCAGUAGCCGCGGUAAUUC